AGAGAGAGACAUGCGCGCAUAUCAAUAAGCGGAGGAAAAGAAACUAACAAGGAUUCCCCUAGUAACGGCGAGUGAAGCGGGAAGAGCUCAAAUUUGAAAUCUUAAAGGGUUUCCCUUUACGAAUUGUAGUUUAAAGAAGUGUUUUCUGUUGAGGUUUUGGUAAAAGUUCUUUGGAAUAGGACAUCAUAGAGGGUGAGAAUCCCGUAUUUGACCUUUACUUUCAACUUUGUGAUACACUUUCAAAGAGUCGGAUUGUUUGGGAAUGCAGUCCAAAAUGGGUGGUAAAUUUCAUCUAAAGCUAAAUAUUGGCGAGGAGACCGAUAGCGAACAAGUACCGUGAGGGAAAGAUGAAAAGAACUUUGAAAAGAGAGUUAAACAGUACGUGAAAUUGCUCAAAAGGGAAGCGUUUGACACCAGUGUUGUUUUUCUGAAAAUCAAUUAAAGAACUGUUUAUGCUAAGUUGUUUAGACUUUAUCAGCUAACUGUUUAGUUUUGAGCUUUUCUUUAAUGCACUUUUCAGUGAACAAGUCAACAUCAAUUUCUUUUGCUGUAAAAAAGCUUGAGGAAGGUGGCUUGAGAUUCGUCUUAAGUGUUUAUAGCCUCUUGCCUAUGCAGUCGGAGAGAUUGAGGUCUGCAGCGUAGAUCCUUCGGGGCUAAAUGCAUUUGUGCUAAGUUAUAGCAUUUUAUAGACAACUUGUUGACUAUGAUUUGUCUUGUAGCUUACUCGCUUAUGUUAUUUUACCUACGCUUAGGAUGUUGAGCGCAUGUCUCUCUCU
rnacentral:rRNA from 1 species